rnacentral:rRNA from 1 species
UGGGGAAUAUUGGACAAUGGGGGCAACCCUGAUCCAGCGACGCCGCGUGUGUGAAGAAGGCCUGCGGGUUGUAAAGCACUUUUAGUGGGGAGGAAACGCUCAGACCUAACACGUCUGGGAACUGACUUAACCCAAAGAAAAAGCACCGGCUAACUCUGUGCCAGCAGCCGCGGUAAUACAGAGGGUGCAAGCGUUAAUCGGAAUUACUGGGCGUAAAGCGUGCGUAGACGGUUAUUUAAGUCGGGUGUGAAAGCCCCGGGCUCAACCUGGGAAUUGCAUUCGAGACUGAAUGGCUAGGGUGCGGAAGAGGGAAGCGGAAUUUCCGGUGUAGCGGUGAAAUGCGUAGAUAUCGGAAGGAACAUCAGUGGCGAAAGCGGCUUCCUGGUCCAGCACCGACGUUCAGGCACGAAAGCGUGGGGAGCAAACAGG